UACGUAGGGGGCAAGCGUUGUCCGGAUUUACUGGGCGUAAAGGGUGCGUAGGUGGAUAUUUAAGUGGGAUGUGAAAUACCCGAGCUCAACUUGGGUGCUGCAUUCCAAACUGGAUAUCUAGAGUGCAGGAGAGGUAAGUGGAAUUCCUAGUGUAGCGGUGAAAUGCGUAGAGAUUAGGAAGAACACCAGUGGCGAAGGCGACUUACUGGACUGUAACUGACACUGAGGCAUGAAAGCGUGGGGAGCAAACAGG
rnacentral:rRNA from 1 species